UACGAAGGGGGCUAGCGUUGUUCGGAUUCACUGGGCGUAAAGGGUGCGUAGGCGGUUGGGUAAGUCUGUCGUGAAAUCUCCGAGCCUAACUCGGAAACUGCGUCGGAUACUAUUCAACUCGAGGAAUGGAGGGGAGACUGGAAUUCUCGGUGUAGCAGUGAAAUGCGUAGAUAUCGAGAGGAACACCAGUGGCGAAGGCGAGUCUCUGGACAUUUCCUGACGCUGAGGCACGAAAGCCAGGGGAGCAAACGGG
rnacentral:rRNA from 1 species